AUGUUUUCCUUAUAUUAUUCUUUUACUCUUUGUUUAAAACAAAUCUCAACCCCAAAUGCGCUUAAACCAAAUUCUAUAAUACAUAAAAGAUAUCCAUAUCAAUAUUCCAAAAUUUUCCAAUAUUACUACAUCGAUAUAAUUAAUAUACUUCCUAAUUUACGAAUCUUAUUCGCUCCUGCGUUGAGGAAGAACAUCAUAGUACAUGAAGUACAAGUUCCUUUUCAGACCUCUUUAGUUUUUAGUGUGACAACCAAAGCCCGGUUGCAGGCACGCAAUCCCCGCACCAAAGACAAUGAAAUUGAUCUCUUAUCUGUUCAUGAAAAGACAACUCGUUGUUGUCCAUAUUGA